rnacentral:rRNA from 1 species
CGCGAAGCCCGGGCCAGGAGCCGCGGUAAUACGUAUGUCGCAAGCGUUAUCCGGAAUUAGUGGGCGUAAAGGGCAUCUAGGCGGUCAAUCAAGUCGAAGGUGAAAACUUGUGGCUCAACCAUAAGCUUGCCUACGAAACUGAUUAACUAGAGUACUGGAGAGGUGGACGGAACUACACGAGUAGAGGUGAAAUUCGUAGAUAUGUGUAGGAAUGCCGAUGAUGAAGAUAGUUCACUGGACAGAAACUGACGCUGAAGUGCGAAAGCUAGGGGAGCAAACAGGAUUAGAUACCCUAGUAGUC